GCCAAAACAUAAUAAACGAUUAUAUUCAGGAGGAACGAAUAUGGAUUCAAGUGGACCUCGAGAUUAUUCAGAGCAUCCCAGAAGUACCUCAUCCACUCCAAAUGAUGAUGCGGACUAUAUUAAUCCAGUUUCUGCACCUUACUAUAAUUUUGAUUUGGUUUCUUCUGGUUAUGAAAAUGUCUUCACUCCUAAAUAUCAG